GAUGAACGCUGGCGGCGUGCCUAAUACAUGCAAGUCGAGCGAACAGACGAGGAGCUUGCUCCUCUGACGUUAGCGGCGGACGGGUGAGUAACACGUGGAUAACCUACCUAUAAGACUGGGAUCACUUCGGGAAACCGGAGCUAAUACCGGAUAAUAUAUUGAACCGCAUGGUUCAAUAGUGAAAGACGGUUUUGCUGUCACUUAUAGAUGGAUCCGCGCGGCAUUAGCUAGUUGGUAAGGUAACGGCUUACCAAGGCAACGAGGCGUAGCCGACCUGAGAGGGUGAUCGGCCACACUGGAGCUGAGACACGGUCCAGACGCCUACGGGAGGCAGCAGUAGGGAAUCUUCCGCAAUGGGCGAAAGCUUGACGGAGCAACGCCGCGUGAGUGAUGAAGGUCUUCGGAUCGUAAAACUCUGUUAUUAGGGAAGAACAAAUGUGUAAGUAACUAUGCACGUCUUGACGGUACCUAAUCAGAAAGCCACGGCUAACUACGUG
rnacentral:rRNA from 1 species